rnacentral:rRNA from 1 species
AUGCACGCUGGCGGCGUGCCUAAUCCAUGCAAGUCGAGCGAACAGAUGAGGAGCUUGCUCCUCUGACGUUAGCGGCGGACGGGUGAGUAACACGUGGAUAACCUACCUAUAAGACUGGGAUAACUUCGGGAAACCGGAGCUAAUACCGGAUAAUAUAUUGAACCGCAUGGUUCAAUAGUGAAAGACGGUUUUGCUGUCACUUAUAGAUGGAUCCGCGCCGCAUUAGCUAGUUGGUAAGGUAACGGCUUACCAAGGCAACGAUGCGUAGCCGACCUGAGAGGGUGAUCGGCCACACUGGAACUGAGACACGGUCCAGACUCCUACGGGAGGCAGCAGUAGGGAAUCUUCCGCAAUGGGCGAAAGCCUGACGGAGCAACGCCGCGUGAGUGAUGAAGGUCUUCGGAUCGUAAAACUCUGUUAUUAGGGAAGAACAAAUGUGUAAGUAACUAUGCACGUCUUGACGGUACCUAAUCAGAAAGCCACGGCUAACUACGUG